GGGCGCUUAGCUCAGUUGGUAGAGCGUCUGCCUUACAAGCAGAAUGUCGGCGGUUCGUUACCGUCAGCGCACG
rnacentral:tRNA from 1 species